UAUUUUGCUGAAUUUAAUUUAAUUAUAUUGUUUAAGUGUUAAUUAUUGAAUUAGUGUUGCUUGGAGAAUAGUAUUGCUUGGUAUGAAUUAUUAUAUUGCAGGUUUAUUUUUGAGAGAGCAUGCACAAUGUGUCCGGUCGUUUUUUCAAUUUAAAGAUAUGAAUAUAUAAUAGUGUCAUAUAUAGGUUAAUAGUAACGUUCAAAAAUAUAUAUACAUACAUACACACGCUCAGACACAUUAAUUUCCACUCCACAUUAAUAAUGAAUGAUGUCCCAGAAAAAGGGCAAAAAAAAAAAAAAAGGAAAAUAGAAAAUUCGCAUGCAUGCAUGCACUUAAAACAAAUAAUAAAAACAAAAAACACAAUUUUUAAUGCACUCAAAACCAUGAAUUCGGUCAACAUCACUAAUUCUUGUAAAAAAAUGCAUUGAAAGUGAUGAGUGUGUAA
rnacentral:lncRNA from 1 species